rnacentral:rRNA from 1 species
GCGGACGGGUGAGUAAUGCUUGGGAAUCUGGCUUAUGGAGGGGGAUAACUACGGGAAACUGUAGCUAAUACCGCGUAGUAUCGGAAGAUGAAAGUGUGGGACCGCAAGGCCACAUGCCAUAAGAUGAGCCCAAGUGGGAUUAGGUAGUUGGUUGGGUAAAGGCUGACCAAGCCGACGAUCUCUAGCUGGUCUGAGAGGAUGACCAGCCACACUGGAACUGAGACACGGUCCAGACUCCUACGGGAGGCAGCAGUGGGGAAUAUUGCACAAUGGGGGGAACCCUGAUGCAGCCAUGCCGCGUGAAUGAAGAAGGCCUUCGGGUUGUAAAGUUCUUUCGGUGAUGAGGAAGGUGCUUGUUUUAAUAGAACAAGCAAUUGACGUUAGUCACAGAAGAAGCACCGGCUAACUCCGUGCCAGCAGCCGCGGUAAUACGGAGGGUGCGAGCGUUAAUCGGAAUAACUGGGCGUAAAGGGCACGCAGGCGGUGACUUAAGUGAGAUGUGAAAGCCCCGAGCUUAACUUGGGAAUUGCAUUUCAUACUGGGUCGCUAGAGUACUUUAGGGAGGGGUAGAAUUCCACGUGUAGCGGUGAAAUGCGUAGAGAUGUGGAGGAAUACCGAAGGCGAAGGCAGCCCCUUGGGAAUGUACUGACGCUCAUGUGCGAAAGCGUGGGGAGCAAACAGGAUUAGAUACCCUGGUAGUCCACGCUGUAAACGCUGUCGAUUUGGGGAUUGGGCUUUGAGCUUGGUGCCCGUAGCUAACGUGAUAAAUCGACCGCCU